AGACAAUAUAUGUAACCUAAACAUUUGUACCCCUACAAUAAUCUGAAAUAAAAAAUAGGAUGGUGCACAUAAGUUAAAAAAAUAAAAUCCCCACUAGUUAAUUUUUUACUGCCAUGUACUUGCCAAACCUUCGUUAUCUUUGCAAAUACCUUGCAAAGUGUGGUUUAAAUGAGCCUGGAGUUUUAAAUUUUUUCCUACAUAUUUUCUGGGUUUAAUUGGCAUUCGGUAAAGUCCUUCACUAUUUAAGAGUGGUUUGGUUCUGGGAUGUAUGUUACCUCCUUCCAAAUCCAGGGAUAUAAAACUGUCUUUAAAUAUAUUUAAAUAAAAUUUAAAUGCUUUAAAAAUUGCAGCCCAAAGUGUAUGUUUUUAAGAGCUGUGUAAGUAAUUUAAGAGGCUUACUGUGGCUUUGUCUUCAACAGAUGCUUGAGAACAAUCUCAAAGGGAACACAUCCACCAGUGAAGCCGUGGCUGAUGAAAUUAUUUAAAAAAAAAAAGCUUUCUGAAAAUGGUGGAGAAAAGCUGGCCACAGGUAUGGAAACCCUCCAGAAACUGUGCUUUCUUCUAUUAAGCUAAAUAAAAACUUUCGGAGGAGAGCAAUUGAAGCUGAAGGAAGCUCCCUCUUCAGUCGCUAUACCAGGAAGUGGAAAUGAAGUCGCUCGGCUCUGCUCUCAACUUUAUUUACUCUAAAAGGUGGGCAAUUUUCUCUUAAAAGAAAUCGUACUAGGAGCUGCAUGGCUCAGUCCGCGCAAGAUGUAUCUACACCCAGGAGCCCAGAGACAGAGACAAGUGACAUUCCCAGCAUUUGUCGGGAUCCAAAGAGCUGGAGGGGGA
rnacentral:lncRNA from 1 species